GACUGGUCUCAUAGACUAGACGUAACAAACUAAACUUAUAUCCGGGAUACUCAAAUUAGUAUAUGUUACAUUUGGUAUGGUUACAUAAAAUGGAUCCAAUCCGAGUCGGCAAGGUGGAAAAAUCUGCCGUUCUGCCCUUGAGCAAAGCAGUUAGCUCACCCCACAACAACUGCUCCCCGGGCACAGAUGACAGAAACGUCAAUUAAAGCAGCUCCCCGCACCUCUCUGAUUCAGAGGAGUUGGGUUAAAUGCCGAAGACACAUUUUGGUUGAAUGCAUUCAGUUGUGCAACUGGCUAGGUAUCGUCUUUCCAAAAGGAGAGGGAAUCCUCUGCAUGCAAACUUGCAAUUUGACUGAGGAUGAGCACAACACUGUGCACUGUGCUGGAGGCAAGCGCCAAAUUGCCAGGAGUCAAACAAGAACAUGUUGCAUGUUGGGACGGUAUUCAUGAAAUGGACACAAUGAGCCGUGGGACCAACACUGCUCUCAAGUCAGAGGCAGACACUGAGGGAAUGAUCCAGACAAAACAGCAGUCAGGAGCUGAACACAGUGAAAGUGUCUUCCUAAGUCUGAACCUGAUUGUUUGAAUUCGGCCUCUCUGCCCCAGACGCCGAAGACUCCUCGUCUUCCUACGCCACAGACACCAGAAGACAGUCGACGCAGUUCUCAGACACCCCAGCGAGAGCAGCACCGCCGGCAGCAUAGCUCCAAUACAGAUUCACCCAAGACAGGCAAGGAACCGCUACACUGCAAACAAUGAGGCAAGACUUUAAGCCAAUACCCAGUGCUAGAGGCACAUGAAAGAGUGUUCUCAGGGGAGAAGACGUAUAUGUGUGAAGCGUGCGGCAGGGGUUUUCGCAAGUCGGAAAUCGCAACAUGCACCUAAAGUUUCACGCCGGCGAGAAGCCGUUCGUCUCCACGUUGUGUGGGAGGAAGUUCAUGACCUUGAGUCACAUGAACAUCCAUGGUGAAGGGAAGCCGGUCAAAUGCUGCAAGUGCAGGAAGUGGUUCCUGGAUAUAGACAGCUGCCAAAAGCACCAGGUGGCACGGCGCGGCACGGUGUGACCAACACCAACACUAACCUUCUCAGCUGUGAGGAAAGUUGUUCGCUCUAGCCUGUCAUCUGAACAGACGGAGACAGAAACAACGCCAGUCACAAUGAACAACAGAAUCAAUGGUUGUCUGUCUCUAUCUUUCUGUGUUUGUCUGUCUGUCCGGUCAUUAUGAAGAGAAGGCUGAUGAAUGUGAUAGACUUGGUGGCUCAGGGCCUGAGUCCUUGCCUUCCAUUCAUGGGUUCAAAUCCCAUUUCUUGUGCUUUAGUGGACAUUUCCACAAAUGUCACUGUCAAAAUGACAAAGAAAACUAUUAAAUGUGAAAGAGAUGGU